rnacentral:rRNA from 1 species
GAUGAACGCUGGCGGCGUGCUUAACACAUGCAAGUCGAACGGAAAGGCCCAAGCUUGCUUGGGUACUCGAGUGGCGAACGGGUGAGUAACACGUGGGUGAUCUGCCCUGCACUUCGGGAUAAGCCUGGGAAACUGGGUCUAAUACCGGAUAGGACCACUUCUUGGAUGUUGUGGUGGAAAGUUUUUUCGGUGUGGGAUGAGCUCGCGGCCUAUCAGCUUGUUGGUGGGGUAAUGGCCUACCAAGGCGUCGACGGGUAGCCGGCCUGAGAGGGUGUACGGCCACAUUGGGACUGAGAUACGGCCCAGACUCCUACGGGAGGCAGCAGUGGGGAAUAGUGCACAAUGGGCGCAAGCCUGAUGCAGCGACGCCGCGUGGGGGAUGACGGCCUUCGGGUUGUAAACGCCUUUCGCUAGGGACGAAGCGUUUUGUGACGGUACCUGGAGAAGAAGCACCGGCUAACUACGUG